CAAGGAGGGUGUCUGGAUACAAGACAGAGCUGAAGAGGUGGUCACAUCAUUCCCAGGUGUGAGGACUCCCCCUGGCCUUUCCUGGAGCAUCACAGAAGCCCGGCUUCUUUCAGGCCCUCAAAGAGUCAACCUGCGGGUUGAGGCUGGCUCUGCGGACAUCUGAGAAUAGGAAAUGCUGCUGUCCGCCUGACUGAAGGCCAGGCAGUCCUCAUCCUCAGGAAGCAUGUGAGCAGGUGAGGGCAUUCCAGACAAGCAGCCAUCGGGUGGAGGAGCAGGGAUCCAGUGGUCAGAGGUGUGUGAGUGUCAAAGCAAACAAAGAACCUACACCCGGGGAGGAGACACAAAACCAGCGCCACGGGACAGAGAGGCUGUGAACUUGGGACAUGCCAGUGUGGCUGGCACUAAAGGAUUUUCAAACAGGAAUCAGCAUCUAAGUGUCUGGUCCCGGGGUAGGUGGGAUGAGCAUAUACUCUCAAAAUCCCAGUGUGAUUCAGCCACUCACCAGGUGAGCCUGGGGUUGGAAGUUGGGCUGGAGCACCAGAAAACAGGUCCACAAGGUCCAAGGAGGUAGGGCCUAGCAGACACAUGCAGAGUCACCAUCCUUACCUGCUCUACCCAAGGGCAGGGGCAGGGGAAGGAAAGGUGCAGAGGCAAUGAGGAAAAAGAGAGAGCAAGAUGGGUCUAGGGGAGCACGUGGCUCAUUUCUUGCUAUGCAUAGACCCACUGAGGAAGAAUGUAGUGAGGAGGUGCUUAAGUACUUGGCCCGAGGUCAGACAGAGCUGGUGUGAAUCCCAGCUCCACAGUUCCCGGCUGUCUGCUAGCUGUGUGAGCUCGGGCACCCUAUGUAACAUCUCUUAGCCUGUUUACUCAGCUGUAGAAUGGAGAUGACACCAGUGUCUACAACCCAUGAUUAUGGAGAUGAUCUCUGUAAAGUGCCUAGUACAAAGUAAAUGCUUAAUAAAUGGAAGCUGCAAGUAUUACUCCAAAGCAUCCAAUUAGUGCACCAGCGCCAAGGUGCACGAUUUAUUUACAAAACCAGCUUCUGGGUGUCUGCACCCUUCAGUUGUUCAGGUGGCUCCUGCUUCCUCUGUCUGAGCUUGGGUCAGGCUACAAAAGGAAUGGUCUGAGGUCAGAGUGCUGGACAAGAUGGACACUUCUCUCCAAAGCCACUUUUGGUGUGGCUGUUCAAUUCUCAUGUGGCAGUUUUUCCAGCUAGGAGAACAGGAAGGUGGCAGCGUGGGGCGGGAUGGGUCUCUUCCUGGGGGUGGAGUGGCUGAACAUGGGGCACAGGCUGAGUUUCUCCCCUCUGCUGCUUGAGGAGAAAGGCAAACCCUAGGCCUGCGGAGUGGGACACCUCAUGCUGGCAGGGAGCAGCCUGGUGGGCUGAGAGGGGCUGGGAGAAUCUGCCAAGGGUUGGGUUCUUCCUGCUGGCUCUGCUGGGUAAGGGGGGUAGGAUGCCCCUCAUCCAUGGUCAUGGGCACUGAGACAGAGAGAAUACAGGCCUGAGUGCCAGGGUCCCAGGCCAGCUCUGGUCCCAGGGCAAACUGACUGACCUCUGGGAGCCUCCCCGCAAUCACCUUCAUCCCUCGACAGUCAGUGGGUGCUGGGGGCCUGCUCUCCAGUGGUUUCUGUUGCAGUCAGCUCCGGCUUCCCCGUGGUGUGACUGCACCAGCCCUGGGCAGCCCCUGAGGGCCCCUGGCUCCCAGAUGGAAAGGCAGGAGGCCCAGGGCUAGUGUGUAACCCCUCCUCAGGGGUUCUGUAGUAAUGCACAAAUCCUGAGGCAUAAAGACCAUGGUCCCUGGAGAGAGGGGCAUCCCGGUCACUGUCACGGGGGAACUCUGCCGAGACCUGCAGGACGGGGCAGCAGGCCAGUGAGUGUGGGGACCCAGAGAUGAGGUCCUAGUGUGCCGAGGCAGCCUGGGUAUGAAGGAACAGGAAGGUCAGCCCGAUGCAAGCCCCCCUCCCAGGUUCAGGCCCAGAUACCCGGGACCAGCCUGUGCCUGCAACACCACAGUGGCAGUCCCAGAAAAGGACAGGCCCAUGUCUGCUCUACAGCCCAGGAAGCACUCAGCAAUGUCACUCACCCAUCCAAGGGCACCCUGCUGGGAGGGGUGUGUCUGGGAUUAAAACCCACCGGCCUUGCCUCCUCUGUCUCUGCAGUCAUGGGCCACAGUGCCCAGCUGCAUGGUGGUGAUUAGGAAUGUUAUAGACCACAAGCUUCGGGUCAAAUCCCAGGUUUGCUACUUGCUAGCUAUGUGCCCUUGGCCAAGUCACUUAACUUCUCUGAGACUCGUUUUCUCAUUCAUAAAAUGGGAAUAAUAGUACGGCUUGUUUUAUAGGAUUACUAUUAGGAUUAAAUGAGAUGAUGCUAAUGAAACAUUUGUCUGAGAGCCUAGCAAGUCAUAAGGACCAAAUAAAUGUUUCUGUGAGCUCACCAUCCUGCUGAGCACUUUAGGUACGUGGUUGUAUGUAAUUCUCACAAUGGCUUUAUUGUUGCUGCUGCUGUUCUCUCUUUUAUAAGGAAACCACGUUCCCCAGGCCGCUCUCCUAGCAGGUGGUCAAGCUGGGCUUGAACAGGACAGUCUUCCUGCAGUGUCUGUGCUCCCAACCAGUGACACCUUGCUCCAAGGGCCGCAGCAGCCCUGAGAGGGGCCUGUCCAGGGGCCUGUUAGAGUCUGGGCCCCAGGACAGAGAGGUUUGAAGGAUGCGGGGGCCUAGUGCUGCUCCCCCCACCCUCUAUGGCCUCCUCAACUCACAGAGCAUUCGUCCCUGACUGUUGUCCUGCAGAAGCAGCCAGCCCGUGCCUCCUUCUCAGUGGGCAGAUCUUGGGAGCCCCUGUGUGACCAGCCAGGAAGGGCCAGGCUGGGCAAACUCUCCUCCUCAGAGCGGUAGUAAGGGAAGAACCCACUGAGCAGUUCUGAGUCCUCCUGGAGCGGUGUCUUGGGCUGCAGGACCAACCCCUCCUCUUCCAGGAGGCACCCAUAGGUGCAGAAGAAAGGCAGGUACUCCAAGGCCACCUGGGCCCUAUGUGAAAGGUGGAGGGAGCUUAGGGGCUUCUUGUCCCUUGAACUGGUGGCCUGCUGUUGGGAGGACAAGGGUCCUGGGUCAUCCUCCUCUAGGAGGCUAGGAGAGGUUGGGGCUCCGGAUUCAGCGUCACAGUUCUGACACAUCUGAGAAAAGAAGGACGUUCCAUCUGUUACUGCAUCCUGAAUUCCUAACCACACCAGCUCUGUCCCCAGUCCCUGCCUACAUUGGAGUCCAGAGGGGUCUUACAAAGCCCAAACCUGACUGUGGUUCUCCUCUGUGAAAAGCCAGCAAUGGGCCUCAACCAUGGCUAGAUUGCUCAAGCACUCAGGGCUUCUUGCCAUUCCUAAGUCACACCAAACUUGUCCUUCCCUUAGAGCCUGUGCCAAGAUCUGCUCCUGGACUCUCAGCUCAGAAGAGCCUUCCCAGCCCCAGCCUCCCUGCAGGGUGACUCCAGAUCAUUUCAUCACUGGCAUGCUCUUCCUGGGCUGUGUGGUCUGCCUGCUUCAUGUGUGGGGUGGUCUUAUCUGUCUUAUCUGUCUGGUGCCUCUCGUUCACAAUAGGAACUCAACUGACACUUUUUCAACUAGUCUGCUGGCUCUCAGUCCAACUCAUAUUCCCUUCACUCUGUCCAGUCCAGCCACACAGGCCUUCUCUUGAUCCAUCUCACUUGCCAAGCAUCCUCCUGCCACAGGGGCUCUGCAUGGGCUAAUGCUUCUGCCCAGAGUCUCUUCCUUCUCCUUUCUCCUAGGUGGUGACUUCCUCAGCGCUUGGUUAAGGUCACUUCCCUAAUGUCCCUGGCUUAGUGGCAUCACCUUCUUCAUGACUGCCACCACCCUCAUACCCCUCAUUCAGAGCACCCGUUCCUCUGCUGUGAAAUAUUUGACUGUGUGGUUUCUUGAUUAAUAUCUCUCAUCCUGUUAGUUACAAAUUCCACCAAGGCAAGGCCCAUCUGUCUAGAUCACUUCUGUGUCCCGAAGGCCUAGAAAAACCCUGGCAUAUGGUAGACACCAAGUAUUGGAAGAAAGGAAAGAAGGGUGGGAGGGAAGGAAAGAGGCAGACAAAAAGAGAACACCUUGGCCAGGAACGAAGUCUUUAUCAGACUCCAUGGUGAUAGGAGGGAGAAGUCACGUCUUGGGGAGAGGGUGGAGAAGCGGAAUGAGGAAUUACUUCCCAGGCCCAGAGGGGACACGUGGCCCAGAGUGCCAGGUAGUGAAAAGCCAGCUCAUUCCCACAUUGACUAUGCCAGACCCAGAGCCCAUCAGGAACAUGGCAGGGGGCCCCUUUGAUCCUGAGCAAGCCCCCAGGCUGUUCCACUUGUGGACUCCUGACCCAUGGAAGAACUUAUGGUGGCUUAGCCCCCAGCCUUCGUGAAUCCCACCCUGGCCUUCCCGACUCCCACCCUAGCCCCUGGGCCUUGAGUCCCCGCCCCUGACACAUGCUCCUGUGGUCCAUGCUCUCCCCCAACUCCCUGCAGGCAGCCUGACCACUGAGGUCCCUGUCCUAAGCCAGACUCCUUGGUAAGUGCCUACUGGCCCAUAGACUGCCAGCUUCUGGUGAGCAGGAACCAGGCCCCCUCCUCCAAGUCCCAGAGACCCAGCUCAGGGCCAUCUUUGCUGAGUUUCUACCACUCCCAGACACUCUGCAGAGCUCUGUGGUCCUCUCUCUCAGGUAAUCCUUAGGAAGCCCACCAGGAUAGACUUGCCUUUCCAACCUCACUGUGCCAAGCAGAAGGGACAGGCUAAAUGGCAGCACCCAGGUCUGACCCACUCUGAAGCCUGUGCUCUGUUCGCUGUGAAUUAUAUGUUGUUGUGUGUCCCCCAUAGGACAUGUUCAAGUCUUAAGCCCUGGCACUUGUGGAUAUGACCUUAUUUGGAAAUGGGAUCUUUGCAGAUGCAAUCAAGUUAAGAUGAGGUCACACCGGGUCAGGGUGGGCCCUAAAUCCAAUGGCUUGUCCCUAUAAGAUGAGGGAAAUUUGGACACAGACACACAGGUAGAAUGUCAUGUGAUGAUGGAGGAAGCUAUUGGAAUGAUGCUGCCACAAACCAAGGCACAUCAAGAAUUGCAUCAUCACAGGAAGCUAGGAGGGAGGCAUGAAGGAACAGAUUCCCUGCUGAGACCCCAAGAAGAAAACAACUCUGCCGACACCUUGAGUUUGAAAUUUUGGCCUUCAGAACUGUGAAAGAAUAAAUGUGUGUUGUUUUAAGCUACUAAGUUUGUGUUAAUUUGUUCUGGCAGCCCUAGGACACUAACUCAUGUGGGUUUGCUGGAUGGCUCAUUUGUGGGGAUAAAGGGAUUUGGCACAGGCUUGAGG
rnacentral:lncRNA from 1 species